rnacentral:rRNA from 1 species
CUCAGAGUGAACGCUGGCGGUAGGCCUAACACAUGCAAGUCGAACGGCAGCACAGGAGAGCUUGCUCUCUGGGUGGCGAGUGGCGGACGGGUGAGGAAUACAUCGGAAUCUACUUUUUCGUGGGGGAUAACGUAGGGAAACUUACGCUAAUACCGCAUACGACCUACGGGUGAAAGCAGGGGAUCUUCGGACCUUGCGCGAUUGAAUGAGCCGAUGUCGGAUUAGCUAGUUGGCGGGGUAAAGGCCCACCAAGGCGACGAUCCGUAGCUGGUCUGAGAGGAUGAUCAGCCACACUGGAACUGAGACACGGUCCAGACUCCUACGGGAGGCAGCAGUGGGGAAUAUUGGACAAUGGGCGCAAGCCUGAUCCAGCCAUACCGCGUGGGUGAAGAAGGCCUUCGGGUUGUAAAGCCCUUUUGUUGGGAAAGAAAUCCAGCUGGCUAAUACCCGGUUGGGAUGACGUACCCAAAGAAAAGCCCGGCA